rnacentral:snRNA from 1 species
AGCUUUGCGUAGUGGCAGUAUCAUAGCCAAUGAGGUUUAUCCAAGGCACAAUUAUUGCUGGUUA